rnacentral:rRNA from 1 species
CAGUCGAGCGGAUGAGGGAGCUUGCUCCUGGAUUCAGCGGCGGACGGGUGAGUAAUGCUUAGGAAUCUGCCUAUUAGUGGGGGACAACAGUUGGAAACGACUGCUAAUACCGCAUACGCCCUACGGGGGAAAGGAGGGGAUCUUCGGACCUUUCGCUAAUAGAUGAGCCUAAGUCAGAUUAGCUAGUUGGUGGGGUAAAGGCCUACCAAGGCGACGAUCUGUAGCGGGUCUGAGAGGAUGAUCCGCCACACUGGGACUGAGACACGGCCCAGACUCCUACGGGAGGCAGCAGUGGGGAAUAUUGGACAAUGGGGGCAACCCUGAUCCAGCCAUGCCGCGUGUGUGAAGAAGGCCUUUUGGUUGUAAAGCACUUUAAGCGAGGAGGAGGCUCUUCUAGUUAAUACCUAGGAUGAGUGGACGUUACUCGCAGAAUAAGCACCGGCUAACUCUGUGCCAGCAGCCGCGGUAAUACAGAGGGUGCGAGCGUUAAUCGGAUUUACUGGGCGUAAAGCGUACGUAGGCGGCUUUUUAAGUCGGAUGUGAAAUCCCUGAGCUUAACUUAGGAAUUGCAUUCGAUACUGGGAAGCUAGAGUAUGGGAGAGGAUGGUAGAAUUCCAGGUGUAGCGGUGAAAUGCGUAGAGAUCUGGAGGAAUACCGAUGGCGAAGGCAGCCAUCUGGCCUAAUACUGACGCUGAGGUACGAAAGCAUGGGGAGCAAACAGGAUUAGAUACCCUGGUAGUCCAUGCCGUAAACGAUGUCUACUAGCCGUUGGGGCCUUUGAGGCUUUAGUGGCGCAGCUAACGCGAUAAGUAGACCGCCUGGGGAGUACGGUCGCAAGACUAAAACUCAAAUGAAUUGACGGGGGCCCGCACAAGCGGUGGAGCAUGUGGUUUAAUUCGAUGCAACGCGAAGAACCUUACCUGGUCUUGACAUAGUAAGAACUUUCCAGAGAUGGAUUGGUGCCUUCGGGAACUUACAUACAGGUGCUGCAUGGCUGUCGUCAGCUCGUGUCGUGAGAUGUUGGGUUAAGUCCCGCAACGAGCGCAACCCUUUUCCUUAUUUGCCAGCGGGUUAAGCCGGGAACUUUAAGGAUACUGCCAGUGACAAACUGGAGGAAGGCGGGGACGACGUCAAGUCAUCAUGGCCCUUACGACCAGGGCUACACACGUGCUACAAUGGUCGGUACAAAGGGUUGCUACUCCGCGAGGAGAUGCUAAUCUCAAAAAGCCGAUCGUAGUCCGGAUCGCAGUCUGCAACUCGACUGCGUGAAGUCGGAAUCGCUAGUAAUCGCGGAUCAGAAUGCCGCGGUGAAUACGUUCCCGGGCCUUGUACACACCGCCCGUCACACCAUGGGAGUUUGUUGCACCAGAAGUAGGUAGUCUAACCGUAAGGAGACG